rnacentral:rRNA from 1 species
CAGUCGCCGCGGGAAUACGUAGGUCCCGAGCGUUGUCCGGAUUUAUUGGGCGUAAAGCGAGCGCAGGCGGUUAGAUAAGUCUGGAGUUAAAGGCUGUGGCUUAACCAUAGUACGCUUUGGAAGCUGUUUAACUUGAGUGCAAGAGGGGAGAGUGGAAUUCCAUGUGUAGCGGUGAAAUGCGUAGAUAUAUGGAGGAACACCGGUGGCGAAAGCGGCUCUCUGGCUUGCAACUGACGCUGAGGCUCGAAAGCGUGGGGAGCAAACAGGAUUAGAUACCCCCGUAGUCCCUGUCUCUUAUACA